GAUGAAGAACGUAGUGAAAUGCGAUACUUGGUGUGAAUUGCAGAAUCCCGUGAACCAUCGAGUCUUUGAACGCAAGUUGCGCCCGAAGCCAUUAGGCCGAGGGCACGUCUGCCUGGGCGUCACACAACGUUGCCCCCCCAAACCUUGACUUCCAAGAGGACGGGGGGCGGAUGUUGGCCUCCCGUGCGCCACGGCUCGCGGUUGGCCCAAAUGCGAGUACUCGGCGACGAGCGCCGCGGCAAUCGGUGGUUGUCCAACCCUCGGUGCCAUGCUGCGCGCGCUAGCCGCUCACUGUUACUCGACGACCCCAAUGCGUCGUAGCCACGACGCUCACAACGCGACCCCAGGUCAGGCGGGGCUACCCGCUGAGUUUAAGCAUAUCAAUAAGCGGAGGA
rnacentral:misc_RNA from 1 species